CAGAGCGUAGGGCAGUCUGGUAGCCUACUCCACUUGGAAUGGAGAUGUCGCAGGUUCAAAUCCUGCCGCUCUGACCA
rnacentral:tRNA from 1 species